CUCAGUAUCAACUCCAGAGAUGUGCACCGUGGCGGACCAUGGCCUCUCAGUGGCAGACCUGGCCCAUUCUGUCCAUUGCCCUUUUCCUGCUUGCUCUGGUGCCAUAUGUGGUCCACCGCAUGAUGACUGCUUUUGACGAUCCCCCUCCACACUCACUCUUCAAGUCAGCUGCAAUUGGCUUUGGCCUCCUUAGUGAAGCCCUGCUGAUCAGGUGUUUGUGCAGUUACUUCAGCCACCGACUCCAGCGAGCAAAGCAAGACUCCUUCAGGCUCUUGCCUCGUCAAUCUGAAGAUCAUGAAGCUCAUGCCAGUCUGAAGUAGUGCCCCACGCCGGGGGUCAAAGGUCAGGAUUCACAGCAUUGGCAGGACAGAGGAACCGCUGAGAGGAGAGGAACAGACCUGCCACUGUUAAAUAUGACCACAGGGAAAGAGACCUGUGGUGCAGC
rnacentral:lncRNA from 1 species